rnacentral:rRNA from 1 species
AUGAACGCUAGCGACAGGCUAACACAUGCAAGUCGAGGGGUAACAGGGUAGCAAUACCGCUGACGACCGGCGGCACGGGUGAGUAACGCGUAUGCAACCUGCCUAUAACUGGGGAAUAGCUCCCUGAAAGGGGAAUUAACACCGCAUAACACUAUUGAUUCGCAUGAAUUGGUAGUUAAAUGUAGCGAUACAGGUUAUAGAUGGGCAUGCGUGACAUUAGCUAGUUGGUGAGGUAACGGCUCACCAAGGCUACGAUGUCUAGGGGUUCUGAGAGGAAGGUCCCCCCACACUGGUACUGAGACACGGACCAGACUCCUACGGGAGGCAGCAGUGAGGAAUAUUGGUCAAUGGGCGCAAGCCUGAACCAGCCAUGUCGCGUGCAGGAAGAACCUGCCCUAUGGGUUGUAAACUGCUUUUAUAGUAGAAGAAACACAUCUACGAGUAGAUGUCUGCCAGUAUACUAUGAAUAAGCAUCGGCUAACUCCGUGCCAGCCGCCGC